rnacentral:rRNA from 1 species
UACGUAGGGUGCGAGCGUUGUCCGGAUUUAUUGGGCGUAAAGAGCUCGUAGGCGGUUUGUCGCGUCGGCCGUGAAAUCUCCACGCUUAACGUGGAGCGUGCGGUCGAUACGGGCAGACUUGAGUUCGGUAGGGGAGACUGGAAUUCCUGGUGUAGCGGUGAAAUGCGCAGAUAUCAGGAGGAACACCGGUGGCGAAGGCGGCUAUCUGGACAGAGUCUGACGCUGAGGCGCGAAAGCUAGGGGAGCAAACAGG